rnacentral:rRNA from 1 species
GACGAACGCUGGCGGCGUGCUUAACACAUGCAAGUCGAACGGUGAAGCGCCUUCCUUUUUGGUGGGUGUGGAUGAGUGGCGAACGGGUGAGUAACACGUGAGUAACCUGCCCCCUUCUUCUGGAUAACCGCAUGAAAGUGUGGCUAAUACGGGAUAUUCUGGGUCUGUCGCAUGAUGGGUCUGGGAAAGAUAUUGUUUCGGUGGGGGAUGGGCUCGCGGCCUAUCAGCUUGUUGGUGGGGUGAUGGCCUACCAAGGCGGUGACGGGUAGCCGGCCUGAGAGGGUGGACGGUCACACUGGGACUGCGACACGGCCCAGACUCCGACGGGAGGCAGCAGUGGGGAAUAUUGCACAAUGGGCGCAAGCCUGAUGCAGCGACGCCGCGUGAGGGAUGGAGGCCGUCGGGUUGUGAACCUCUUUCGCCAGUGAAGCAGGCCUGCCUCGUUUGUGGGUGGGUUGACGGUAGCUGGAUAAGAAGCGCCGGCUAACUACGUG